AUUGAACGCUGGCGGCAGGCCUAACACAUGCAAGUCGAACGGAGCAGCGGACGGGUGAGUAAUGCCUAGGAAUCUGCCUGGUAGUGGGGGAUAACGUCCAGUAACGGGCGCUACUACCGCAUACUCUCAGCUGAGCCUAUGUCGGAUUAGCUCGUUGGGGGUGUAAAGGCAUACAAAGGCGACGAUCCCUAACUGGUCUGAGAGGAUGAUCAGUCACACUGGAACUGAGACACGGGCCAGACUCCUACGGGAGGACGCAGGGGGGAAGAUUGGACAAUGGGCGAAAGCCUGAUGCAGCCAGGCCGCGUGUGUGAAGAAGGUCUUCGGAUUGUAAAGGACUUUAAGCGGGGAGGCGUUACGAACAGAAUAAGCACCGGCUAACUGCGUGCCAGCAGCCGCGGUAAUUC
rnacentral:rRNA from 1 species